AAGUUUCUCAAAAUAAAACAACAGUGCCUCUCUCUAACCCUCCCUACUCUCUCUCACCCCCUGUGUCCUCUCCCUCAACUCUGCUCGUCGCGCUCUCACAAAAGAGAAACACUUUUCAAGUCUCAUCAUCAUCUUCAACAAGCUAAGUGUAGAAAAAGUUGGAAUAGAGGGGGCUUUGAUGGUGUUUCAGAUCAAGAAUUUAAUUGUUAUGUGAUGAGUGGGGACGAGUUCAGGUUCUUUUUAUCCUGUGAUAUUAACUUGCCAGUGGCCAUUCGCAUCGGGAAAUUGGAAGGAUGUCUGAAAUCAGAUGGUGAUUCUUCAAGUGAGAAGAGAAGUGCUGAGCUGUAUGUUGAGUGCAUUUUGUACAUUGAUGGUGCUCCAUUUGGGCUUCCUAUGCAAACAAGGUUGGAAUCUGGGGCCCAACCAUACUACUGGAAUGAACAUAUUACCCUAAGUGCCAAAUAUCGAGAUUUGACUGUACAUGCUCAACUGGGAUUAACUGCUGGAGGCCCUGGGUUUCACUUAACUUUUGGUCUCUUGAGUUCGGCAUUGUGUUUCCACUCCCCGCUUCUCAGUCUUAUGAAAUGUUCUUUAAAGGUCUGGGAUGUUUGCAAACAGGAUGAGGAACCAGUUGGUGGAACCACCAUCCUCCUCUUCAGUGGCAAAAAGCAACUUAAAACUGGGAAACAAAUGCUUAGGCUCUGGCGCGGCAAAGAAGCAGAUGGAUCAUUUCCCACAAAAACACCUGGCAAGGUUCCCAAACAUGAGCGUGGGGAGAUGGAGCGUUUAGAGAAGCUUCUAAAUAAGUACGAACGGGGACAGAUGCAGCAUAUUGAUUGGCUAGACCAUCUAGCAUUUAAAGCUAUUGAACAAAUGAAAGAAAGAGAAAGUUGGAGAAGAACGAAUUCUCAAUUGCAUUUAAUAGUUGACUUCUGCAGUUUUGAACACAGAGUUGUGUUUCAGGAAUCAGGAGCAAAUUUUCUUUGCCCAUCUCCUGUAUCUUCGACAAAUGAAAUUGUUAUUGUAUGGGAUCCAGAAGUUGGUAGAAUAAAUCCUUCUGAGCACAAGCAACUCAAGCUUGCUAGGAGUUUGACUCGUGGUAUUAUUGAUAGGGACCUGAAACCAAGUUCUAAUGAAAGAAAGGCAAUACAGAUGAUUUUGAAGUAUCCCCCAACUCGCACAUUAAGUGGGGAAGAAAGACAAUUAUUGUGGAAAUUCCGCUUUUCCUUGAUGUCAGAAAAGAGAGCCCUCACAAAGUUCCUUCGAUGUGUUGAAUGGAGUGAUGUUCAGGAAGCCAAGCAAGCAAUAGAUUUAUUGGGUCGCUGGGAUACCAUUGACACAAGUGAUGCAUUAGAGCUUUUAUCACCUGUUUUUGAAAGCGAAGAAGUUAGGGCGUAUGCAGUGAGUGUUCUUGAAAGAGCUGAUGAUGAAGAGCUCAAAUGUUACUUACUUCAAUUAGUACAAGCUCUCCGGUUCGAGCGAUCUGAUAAAUCUCGCCUUUCGCUUUUUCUUGUUCAACGGUCUCUUUGCAAUAUUGAGCUGGCCAGCUUCCUCCGAUGGUACGUGGCUGUGGAACUCCAUGAUCCUGCUUAUGCAAAGCGUUUCUAUUGUACCUAUGAAAUUCUGGAAGACAGUAUGAUGAAAUUGGUGGCAGGUGUAAAUAGUGAUGAAGAUGGCUUCAAGCUGUGGCAAAGUCUUGUUCGUCAGACUGAGUUAACUGCUCAGUUAUGUACUAUUAUGAGAGAUGUGAGAAAUGUUCGUGGUGGAACACAGAAAAAAAUAGAAAGACUAAGGCAGCUGCUCUCUGGUCUUAUGAGUGAACUCACCUAUUUUGAAGAGCCAAUUAGAUCUCCUUUAGCUCCCGAGGUGCUCAUCACAGGGAUCAUACCAGCAGAAUCAUCACUUUUCAAGAGUCAACUGCAUCCCCUGCGUCUGACAUUCCGAACUGCAACUGGUGGCACAUACAAAGUAAUAUUCAAGAAAGGGGAUGACAUCCGGCAGGACCAAUUGGUUAUUCAAAUGGUCUCUCUCAUGGAUCGACUACUUAAAUUGGAGAAUCUUGAUUUGCAUUUAACUCCUUAUAGAGUAUUGGCAACUGGACAUGAUGAGGGCAUGCUGGAAUUUAUACCGUCGAGUUCUUUAGCACAGAUCCUGUCGGAACAUCGUAGCAUUGUAAACUAUCUACAGCGAUUUCACCCGGAUGAAGAUGGACCUUUUGGAAUAACUGCCAGCUGUCUCGAAACAUUUAUAAAAAGUUGUGCUGGGUACUCUGUUAUAACAUAUAUCCUUGGGAUUGGAGAUAGGCAUCUUGAUAAUCUUCUUCUUAGGGAAGAUGGGCGGCUCUUCCAUGUUGAUUUUGCUUAUAUUCUUGGUCGAGAUCCAAAGCCGUUUCCACCACCUAUGAAACUGUGCAAAGAAAUGGUUGAAGCCAUGGGUGGUGCAGAAAGAUUCUGUUGCUUUUUUAUCUUGAGUGCAGCCCAUACUAUACCAGAUUCAAAUCCUACUGCUGUGAAGCAUACAACAUUCUUAGAAAAUCGAGCAACCUUAUUCUAAAUUUGUUCCACUUAAUGGCGGGUUCCAAUAUUCCUGACAUUGCUUCGGACCCUGAGAAGGGCAUUCUCAAGCUACAAGAGAAGUUUCGGUUAGACUUGGAUGAUGAAGCCUCUGUGCAUUUCUUUCAAGAAGUUAUCAAUGAUAGUGUUAGUGCUUUGUUCCCUCAAAUGGUUGAAACUAUUCAUCGUUGGGCUCAAUAUUGGCGUUGAGUCCCUGAGCAUUUGAGCUGUAACCAUCAACAGAUUCUGGCUGUAAUGCUUGUUCUUAUGUAUCUUGUACUGGCGAUGCCGUGCUAUUUAUCGAAGGAGCUGUGCAAGGCCUACGACUUCUCACAUGUUCACUCAUUUUCUGCUAGUUUUGUAAAUAUUGUAAAAAGGGAAACCUGGUAUUUAUAUUGACGUCAAGAAUAUAAAGUAAUUAUCAUUUAAGUUGUUAUGCCUUUAACGGCUGCAAGCGAGAGCUUAUUGGGAGCUUGCAGUUGCA